GAAAAAACAAAAGUUAUGAUUACCCAGCAUUCAAAUUAAUAAAGGUUGAACUCUCCGACAUCGUAGUAACUUUCUUUCGGGACUUGUCUGGGAAUAAAAUCACAAUAGCUCCAUCAGCCGUCCAGCAUUUUUUCAUGCCAAAAUAAUUGCGAGCUGCCACAAAUAUGUCUUGACGGGUCUUAGUUAAAAACUCGGUAAUUGUGACCUUAGUACCUUUUAAACUGGUUUUAGCUUUCCACGCUUUAGAGCGAAGCUGCAUGUUUGAAAAACGAACAAGUAUGGGCCGUGCAG
rnacentral:misc_RNA from 1 species